rnacentral:tRNA from 1 species
GGAGAGGUGACCGAGUGGCCGAAGGUGCACGACUGGAAAUCGUGUGGACGUUAAAAGCGUCCCGCGGGUUCAAAUCCCGCCCUCUCCG